GCAGAUCUUGGUGGUAGUAGCAAAUACUCAAAUGAGAACUUUGAGGACUGAAGUGGGGAAAGGUUCCGUGUGAACAGCAGUUGGACACGGGUUAGUCGAUCCUAAGCCAUAGGGAAACUCCGUUUUAAAGUGCGCUCUCGGGCGCCGCCUGGCGAAAGGGAAACCGGUUAAUAUUCCGGUACCUCGAUGUGGAUUAUCCGCGGCAACGCAACUGAAGGUGGAGACGUCGGCGGGGGCCCCGGGAAGAGUUCUCUUUUCUUCUUAACUGUCUAUCACCCUGAAAUCGGUUUGUCCGGAGCUAGGGUUUAAUGGCAGGUAGAGCAGCACACCUUUGUGCUGUCCGGUGCGCUCUCGACGACCCUUGAAAAUCCGCCGGAAGGAAUGAUUUUCACG
rnacentral:rRNA from 1 species